rfam:Triticum aestivum genome assembly, contig: Triticum_aestivum_CS42_TGACv1_scaffold_405143_5BL
AAUAUACUCCCUCCAUCCGAAAAUACUUGUCAUUAAAAUGAAUAAAAAGAAAUAUAUGUAGAACUAAAGUACAUCUAGAUACAUCCCCUUUUAUCCAUUUUGAUGACAAGUAUUUCCGGAUAGAGGGAGUACUUA